GACCGGGUAGCUCAGUUGGCAGAGCAACGGACUUUUAAUCCGUAGGUCCUGGGUUCGAGCCCCAGCCCGGUCA
rnacentral:tRNA from 1 species